rnacentral:rRNA from 1 species
AACGAACGCUGGCGGCAUGCCUAACACAUGCAAGUCGAACGAAGGCUUCGGCCUUAGUGGCGCACGGGUGCGUAACGCGUGGGAAUCUGCCCUUUGGUUCGGAAUAACAGCUGGAAACGGCUGCUAAUACCGGAUGAUGACGAAAGUCCAAAGAUUUAUCGCCAGAGGAUGAGCCCGCGUUGGAUUAGGUAGUUGGUGGGGUAAAGGCCUACCAAGCCGACGAUCCAUAGCUGGUCUGAGAGGAUGAUCAGCCACACUGGGACUGAGACACGGCCCAGACUCCUACGGGAGGCAGCAGUGGGGAAUAUUGGACAAUGGGCGCAAGCCUGAUCCAGCAAUGCCGCGUGAGUGAUGAAGGCCCUAGGGUUGUAAAGCUCUUUUAACCGGGAAGAGAAUGACUGUACCGGGAGAAUAAGCCCCGGCUAACUCCGUG